rnacentral:rRNA from 1 species
UACCAGCACCCCGAGUGGUCGGGACGUUUAUUGGGCCUAAAGCAUCCGUAGCCGGUUCUACAAGUCUUCCGUUAAAUCCACCUGCUUAACAGAUGGGCUGCGGAAGAUACUAUGGAGCUAGGAGGCGGGAGAGGCAAGCGGUACUCGAUGGGUAGGGGUAAAAUCCGUUGAUCCAUUGAAGACCACCAGUGGCGAAGGCGGCUUGCCAGAACGCGCCCGACGGUGAGGGAUGAAAGCUGGGGGAGCAAACCGG